UGGGCAGGCCAGACGGUCGCGUGUCUAUUGACACGAGGAAAGUCCGGGCUCCACAGGGCAGGGAUGACAGAUAACGUCUGCCGUAGGUAACUAUAGGGAAAGUGCAACAGAAACACACCGCCGAAACGGGUAAUGCCGUGGUAAGGGUGAAAUGGCGAGGUAAGAGCUCACCGGCGGCAUGGUAACAUGCCGGCCGUGUAAACCCCAUCCGGAGCAAGACCAAGCAGGGCGUAUGUGGCAGCGGCCCGCUGCCGCCCGGAGGUAGGUCGCUCGAGCAUGCCGGCGACGGCACGCCUAGAUAGAUGAUCGUCUAAUACAGAACCCGGCUUACAGGUCUGCCCAUUAU
rnacentral:RNase_P_RNA from 1 species